AUUAAGUUCAGGCCAAGCGCUCACCAUUCUGCAGAAUAAGGACCAGAACUUUACAGAGGUAAACUGUGUCAGUUCUUUUACUAUUACAGCAGUUCAUCGUGGCCCUGUUGUUCGCCUCCUUCACCAAAACUCUGUCAGGGACCUACAUGAACAGUGCCAUCACUCAGAGAGACACUUUUUCCCUGUCCAGCUCUCUCAUCGGACUCAUAGACGGCAGCUUUGAGAUGGAUAUCAACAAUAACAUUGAGUUGCUUGAGAAUUCAUGUAGUAAAAACCAGAUACAGACUACAGUAUGAUCCAUUUUUUUGUGGUUCAAUCAGAGUCUGCUCUCAAUUACUGUCCAGUGUUAUAGUUGUUCCUAUUAAUUGAUUGACUGGCGUUUGUCCAUGACUCUACUGUCAAACCCCUAACAUUGUUUUAUUUGAUGCUGUGCUGUUGCAGCCUAGUUUCCAAACUGAUAUGCCAUUUUUAGUUUAAAAAAUAACAGUGUUUAUAAUUUGCUCUUCCUGACUACUGCAGUGUUGUGGUUUCUUGCAGGUAACCUGCUGUUCCUGGCUGUGGUCAGCCAUUUUGGGGCGAAGCUGCACCGGCUCAGGUUCAAUGCUGUGGGCUGUUUCCUCAUGGCUGUAGGAUCCUUCCUCACACGCCUGCCACACUUCUUCAUGGGACGGUUGGACCCAGGUGCAGAGAAGAGACCAGAAGAUGAAGCAGUGGUUCCAACCAGUGUCUCCACCCCUCAAGGGCCCACUUAACUGCCAAAAGCUCCCAGUUUCCUACAUCGUAGUUGCCUUCCGCUGGCGAGGCCCGCUUGGAGAGAAAGGUGCAUGGGUGCAGUUUCUUGUCCUCCUCGUUCCGCUGUGAAAGUACCGCACCAGCUCCGGUGUCCGAGGCGUCCACCUCUACCACAAAGGGGCGAGUAGGAUCAGGAUGAACGUGGAUGGGUCCGGAGGUGAAACGUCCCUUGAGCUCUAUGAAUGCCCUGUCAGUCUCGGGAUUCCUGCAAAAACCUGCUUGCGUGAGGUGGGACAGGGCUGUAUGUGUUCCGGAGGUUUUUUUGGAGAAGAUCAGGAUGUCGUCGAGGUGAACAAAGACGAACCGGUUCAACAUAUCCCUAAGAGUGUCAUUGAUCAAUGCCUGAAAGACGGCCGAUUUUAAGCGUUGCGGAGGUCCAGUUUGGUGAAGAAUUGGUCUCCUAGGGCCAACUCCAAGACGGCGGACAUCGGGUUUGUUGAACAUGAGUGGAAAUGAAACUCCAGCACACUGGUAGCACUAAAGACGUGUGAGUAUAACUAUUCCUGGUGAGUUGGGUGUGGUGGGGAUAUUCCUGGGAGGUCUACUGAUGAAGAGGUAUAAGCUUGGCGUUGUGUCUGGAGCCCAGAAGUCUUUCGUCACCUCCUUCAUGGCCUACCUCCUCCUCCCUCUGCAGUUUGGCACUAGUGUGACAACGUUCAGGUGGCUGGUCUGACCGUGUCCUACAAUA